CCCCCCAUCUUUAUACAGGACCCUGUACAGUUUACUGGUCAUGUUAAAACUCAGACACCAUCCAACCCUUCCAACCCUGAGACACACCUUCACAAAAGGAGUGAAGUAUUUGCCCGUUUGUUGCUCCACUUUGUGUUUUUGCACACUGUAAAUGUUUGUUUUAUUACAUUUCCCCCCCCCCCCUUGAAAAGGCUUAAUACCAAAUGUUGGGCUUGGGACGAAGUUGCGAUGGUAACCCCCAAUGUCAAUUGUUUUAUUUGCCUUAGAUCAUAACUGCUUGUAGAUUCUGCUCCUACAACAACAAACCUUAACUAUUAACUUUUUAAAGAAAAAACACACAAAUCAGAUUAGUAGGAUUUUUUUUUUUUCUCAUUUCACAUAGCUGUGAAAUUUUAGAGUGAAAACACGACAAAAUAUUAUUGCUGCAACACAACAUGUAUGUUGUGUUAAAAUCCCAGUCGAUAGAACUGGAACCUGCUAUCACACCCUACAAACAACUGAAAGGUAGGAAUGUUUACGGGGAUGUGAGAGGUUUGUUUACAACAACAGGUCCAUAUUUUCAAUUCUGAUCAGCCGAGAAACACCAAAAUAAAAUAAAAUAGCUGCAUUUUUAAAGAUUAAAAAGUACAGAUUGGGAGUUUUUUUUUUAAAUAAUGUGACGACACUAAAUUGGUGUGUUUCUUAUGGGAACUAGAAUAUGAAAUCUUCUCUUGCCACAGCUGCUUGUAAAUAACAACAGCACUGAUAAUAUCGAAGACAGAUUAUUUUAGGGGGCUUUCAGAUUGACACUUGUUUUGUAGCAAAUCUCAACCAGAAAGCUACCUCACGGUGCUGCGUUAACGUUGAUGAGCUGCUGUGUUCACUUCUAUCAUAUUUUUUCUUACACAAAACAGGUCUUGAACCUCUAUUUAGUUGCUAAAUAUUUUACUUGCAGAGGUAUCACGUUCAUCUUGUCCGAUUUAUGGUCAUUGUGAUUUAAAAGAUGCAACUUGUGAAAUUUCUGCUGCACGAUGAAGUAAUGAAAUGAUUGGUCAUGUCAAAUCUGUGCUCAGAUCUCAAAAAUGAAUAAGCACUGCAAACAAAUUAGCCCCCUACUCUUUGAAUUGCUUUGAAAAAAAUAGUUUAAGACAUAAAAAUAUAUUUCAAACACAAUCCUGACAUUGAUCAACGAUGCUCUUAAUACUUUUAGCUUUUUGAGUCGAGCUUUCAAACACCUACGGUCUUAAGAGCAUCGCCCCGUUUCCCCUUACCGCACUGGCCAAACAAUCUCCCCAGAAUGAGUGACUUAUGCUCUGUCGACAAUAAGAUAUUUAAUUAUUGUUGCCAGAGGGAAAAAAAAACUUCCUGAGAAGAAUCUGCCAAUGAUUUGUGACCAGGAGCCGAAUAUAUUUAGUAAAGGCUCCCUAUGAAAUUGGUUGCCGGAGCCUCUUAACGCCAGAUUCCUGUGGACUUUGUAUAUUUGUGCCAGAUGAUUAGAACUAAUAGCCCUAUAUGUAAGAUGUAACUCAGGGCUAUGCUAUGCAUCCAGCAGUACCUCUCAAACUGAAGACUCUCAGAGUCACGUCGCAAGAGCAAAACCAAACGGCAAGCUAUUGGUAUGGAAAUCCUUUCUAAAGCACAGGUAAUGUAUGUACUUACAUACAUAUAUGUUGUUGUUGUAGAAGUCCCACGUCUUGGUGCAUUUUUGAUAAAACUGCUGCUAGCCUUUUGCUUUAUUAUCAAAAAAUAAAACUGAAAUUAGUCUAACUUUUUAGGUGCCAAAAGGUGCAAAAAGUGUUUAUUUAAAUUUGUUUGACAUUUUCAUUUUGUUUAGUUGUAAGGCUUUUUAAGAGAGGCUUGAGAAUCUAUGUGGGAUUGAUAGGAUUAAUGAAUAAGUGGUAGGACUGGGUAUCAUUACUGAUGCUGUACCUGAGUUUCAGUACCAAUAUCAUUUUUGAUUAUUUUAAGAAAUAAAGCGAUUUCUCUACAGAACCCCUUUUGUCUGUUACAAUAGGGACCAGACUCCUCAAAUGUUUAAUGUUCCAAACCUGGUGUCAUGGGAUAAUUACCAUGAAGCAAACAAGACAUUUUUAUUUUCUAUCUAUAUUUUUGGGACAUUUAUCUAGUCUACUUUAUUUUUUUCCUAUAGUUGGUGCCAGGUAAAUUCUAAAAAUACAAUAUACAUCUCUGAUUCAAGAAUCUGGUCAGACAUUCAACGCCGGCUUUCAGUACUUGACAUUUCUUGAUACUUUGACACUUUUUAAUGGGUCCAAAAUAAUAUAUUGAGGUUUGAUACCCAGCCCUGCCUCUGCAGGGGAACUCUAUAACAGCUGCCUACACAUGCACUCACAGUGUUUAACAUAUCAGGCACAGGAUUUUUGAGAUUGAAUUAGUUAAAUUAGUCAAAGCAUUUGCUCUGUUCAGUAUUUGAAUAGAAAAGCCAUAAUUUUGGGAUAAGUGGUGUCUGCACAACACACUGCACAGCACCCUGUAACCUCAGCUUUAAACCAUAAUCAGAUCAGUAUCGGCUUUGCUUCAUUUGCACACGACUUGAUGCUGACGUUAAUGUUAACGGAUAGACCUCCAGUUUUGGUGGAGUUGAUAACAUUUUUGAGCAUUUUGAGGCCUAUACUUCACUCCUAAACUCACAGGGUUUUCUGAUUUUGUACAACAGCUGUACAUGAUUUAAAGUGAAUUUGCUGACAAGGCGUCUUUCAUAUCUGUGAGGGUAAUGUACCAUUCUCUGAUUAAGGCGUAUUUUUCUCACAAAUCAAACAUGUACCUGGUGUUUGUUUUUUUUCUUUGCCCAGUGCACUAAGAUCGGAUAUGUGAAUACAACUUCCACCUGUCUCUGAUACUCGUGUAGAGACAAAACUGGUCUCUGUCCAACUUUUAUUUUGAACAAUUUUCAGCGACUUCUGUCUCUAACAUACAUGCAGUCUUUCAAUUGGUACUUUGUACAAUUCAGUAUUACCAAGUUUUUGAGAAAAAAAGAUAAAUGUUCUAAGUUUAAAAGCA